UUCAAAUACACAAUAUUAUAUAUACUUACAAUGGUGCCAUCGCAAAGUGCUACGUCCGCGUCACUCCACCAAAAGUCCAAUAGAUACCCAUCGCUGCUUCCUCGUCGGGCCGGUGAUACUAUGUCCACUUGCUCCGUCAUGCCUGUAUCUCUGCGAGACAUUUUGAGUCCUGGGACGCUGCACAAAGAUGGUGGUGGAGGGACGAAAGUUAGUGGAAAGUCAGUCGGCGGGGUCGGCUCUGCGACCCUCACCUCCCUCUCGUCCAUCGCCAACUCCACGAACGUCAGUAGAAACAAAAACGCCCCAAUCUCGCAUCGCGAGGUGCUGCCGUCCCUUGGGAACUCGAAGACGUCGCGGGUGGAUCGAUUGGACAACAAUAACGCCAACAACACGAACGCGAACAACAUCCACCUGCCCCUACACCACGACCCCUUCAACAGCAAUUCGCACACCGAUGGAUGUGGUAUACGAUUACCAAUGACUCCUGAACAAGCGACCAAGUACUACGGCUCCAAGCUCACGGAAUUCGAAAGAGCCGAGAUCGAAAAGUACUCGGAGAUCUGGUACCUCGGCCUGUCGGCAUGUAAGAUACACGGGGAAGAGGGUGCCUCCCAGAACGGCGGCUACGACGACGACAACGGCAGUUACAACAAGGUCCUCCACGACCACAUCUCCUACAGAUAUGAAAUCCUGGAAGUCAUUGGCAAAGGCAGUUUCGGCCAGGUGAUCAGGGCGCUGGAUCACAAGACCGGCCAGCACAUUGCCAUCAAGAUCAUAAGGAACAAAAAGAGAUUCCAUCACCAGGCCCUAGUCGAAGUCAAAAUCUUGGAUCAUCUGAGGAAAAAGGAUGUCGAUGCUAGUUCUUCCCACAAUGUGAUACACAUGCUAGAGUACUUUUACUUCCGGAAUCAUCUGUGCAUUAGUUUCGAGCUGAUGAGCUUGAAUCUGUACGAGCUCAUUAAAAAGAACAAUUACCAAGGCUUUAGUUUAAGCCUCAUUCGAAGGUUCGCCAAUUCACUGGUCAAUUGUCUUAGGCUACUUCACCGAGAAAACAUCAUUCACUGCGACUUGAAACCCGAAAACGUUUUACUGAAGCAACGCGGCAGCAGCUCGAUCAAAGUGAUAGACUUUGGCUCGUCAUGCUACAGUCACCAGCGCGUCUACACGUACAUCCAAUCAAGGUUUUACCGGAGUCCCGAGGUUAUCCUCGGACUGCCCUACGGCACGCCGAUCGACAUGUGGAGUUUGGGCUGCAUUCUCGCCGAACUUUACACCGGCUACCCGCUGUUCCCCGGUGAAAACGAGGUCGAACAGCUGGCCUGUAUCAUGGAGGUGCUGGGCAAGCCCCCAGAUCAGCUCAUCAUUCACGCCACGCGUCGCAGGCUCUUUUUUGACUCCAAGGGUAAUCCUCGCAACAUAACCAACAGCAAGGGUAAGAAGAGGAGGCCUGGAACCAAAAGUGUCAUGCUGGCCCUUAGGUGUCGGGACCCCCUGUUCGUCGAUUUCGUUAGCCGGUGCCUUGAGUGGGACUCGAAAAAACGCAUGACUCCGGAAGAAGCGAUGCGUCACGAGUGGCUGACCUCCUCGUCCUCGUCGCACCUGUCGUCCUCGUCGUCGACGAUGGCUUCCUCGAUGACCGGUAGCUUGGUCCUGAGCAGUGGUGGCGUCGUAGAGUCUAGCCAGCCGGUGCACGGCCAAACCGGCCUGAGCUGCGGAGCGACAAGCGUAUCGGCGACCGUCGGCGUUGUACAGAGCGUAGCGUCGAGCAACGCGCGCCGGCGUGCCGAGACGAUGGAAGAUCCCCAGCAGCAGUACGCGCUGCUGCAGCAGUACCAGCAGCUGUACCGGGGCCGCAAGUGCAUCUCCAAGAUCACGGGCAUCGACGCCCCGGACGGUGGCGCGUCCCUCGUCGUCAAGAACAAGCUCAACGGUAGUGCGAGCAGCCACGCCCUCACGGCCGGGGGCCAGACCGCGAGUUCGAGGCACGCCUCCACCGGGGACAUCGUCACGAGCCUCGAUCCCAGCCUCGACGACUCGGGGACCUUCCUGCCGCACAUCUUGUCUUGAAGCCGGGUGCGAGCUAGCCAUUUCUAAAGCGACACGCGAGCCACGACCGUCGUCUCUGAGCCCUUUGGAUUUUGUUCUUUCUUUGGAUCGUUGAGUCGCGCGCAGUUAAGCUGCCGAGGGGAGACAAAUGAUGUACUUGCUCGGGGCGCUGUUUCAGAGAUGAACUGCUUGCGCAGGGGGUAAAGAAAUUUUGGUAUUUUUGAUCAUCACUGGAAACAAGAGAUACCGAGGUGCGCAAAGUACACUAUAAUAUAUUGGAUCUUGUACCGACAAUAAUUUUUGAAUCGGCCAAAUUGAGAUGAAUCCCGUGAUAAUACUCAAUGAAAUGAAUCAAAGCUGCGGAUCAGCUGAUAAUUUGUUACAUUAUACUCUGGAGGAUAAGCUUUGGAAAGAAAUGGCUGGCUAUUGUCGCAUCGAAUCGAAAUAACGUUUAGCCAUGACCCAACGAAAAUAAAAGGGGCGUAAUGACAAAAAAAGUGUAAGGCUCGUAUAUCUAGGCUAAUUACGCAUCGACUGGAGUUUAACGAUUAAUAGUAAAUGGAAAAUCGUCCUUCGUUUUCACGACCUAUACCAUGUAGCCAAGUCUGCUGUGUAAUUUUAAAUUUUAUAAAUGUUAUUUAUUGUCGUCGAUCAACGUCAUUCGAAAUCAUCUGCCUCAAACGCGUUGAACGAUCGACAACGACUUAUCGCUCUCUCGACGAGGAAGCCGAGCGGUAUGGGAAUCGAGAGAAAAACCAUGCACGAAACGCCAAAAGUUUAACGCGUCAAUAGUGAAAGUAAAAAUAUCGAAAGCAUCAGUUUUUUUUUUUUUUCUUCGAUGGCUCCAAAAACUGAUGUGUCGUGAGAUAAAGAUAACGCAGAUUGUCCUCCCGAUCGGCGUGACCCCGUUUUUUGCGAGGCCUGAGUAGUCUUAUUGUGAUAUUAAACUACCACUGUCUUACUUGGAUCUCUAAUGAUUGAGAAUGUAGCGCCGUCUAAUGUUAGUUUUUUUUUAAAUACUAUUUUAGACAUUAUUCUUAU
rnacentral:misc_RNA from 1 species